rnacentral:rRNA from 1 species
GACGAACGCUGGCGGCGUGCCUAAUACAUGCAAGUCGAGCGGACCGACGGGAGCUUGCUCCCUUAGGUCAGCGGCGGACGGGUGAGUAACACGUGGGUAACCUGCCUGUAAGACUGGGAUAACUCCGGGAAACCGGGGCUAAUACCGGAUGCUUGAUUGAGCCGCAUGGUUCAAUUAUAAAAGGUGGCUUUCAGCUACCACUUACAGAUGGACCCGCGGCGCAUUAGCUAGUUGGUGAGGUAACGGCUCACCAAGGCGACGAUGCGUAGCCGACCUGAGAGGGUGAUCGGCCACACUGGGACUGAGACACGGCCCAGACUCCUACGGGAGGCAGCAGUAGGGAAUCUUCCGCAAUGGACGAAAGUCUGACGGAGCAACGCCGCGUGAGUGAUGAAGGUUUUCGGAUCGUAAAACUCUGUUGUUAGGGAAGAACAAGUACCGUUCGAAUAGGGCGGCACCUUGACGGUACCUAACCAGAAAGCCACGGCUAACUACGUGCCAGCAGCCGCGGUAAUACGUAGGUGGCAAGCGUUGUCCGGAAUUAUUGGGCGUAAAGCGCGCGCAGGCGGUUUCUUAAGUCUGAUGUGAAAGCCCCCGGCUCAACCGGGGAGGGUCAUUGGAAACUGGGGAACUUGAGUGCAGAAGAGGAGAGUGGAAUUCCACGUGUAGCGGUGAAAUGCGUAGAGAUGUGGAGGAACACCAGUGGCGAAGGCGACUCUCUGGUCUGUAACUGACGCUGAGGCGCGAAAGCGUGGGGAGCGAACAGGAUUA